AGAUUCAUGGCAACUGGACUGAAGAAAUUAUUUUGGGAAAACCCCAAAGUGAGAAAAACAAGUGCUGAGUAAUUUUCUUGGGGAAAACUAGACAAUCCACCAGCCCAGGAGGGGACAAGCAGGCUUAAUCCCCCUCCUCGUCAUCUCUGGCUCCAGCCCCACCCUGGCCCUUCCUGGCAUUCUUCCUCUUCACGUGGCUGGGGUGGCCACCCCAAUAGGGAGGCAGAGGGAGAAGUCCAUGUGCUUCUGGGAAUCCAGGCGGACAGUGAAGAACAGGAUAUUUACCACCUGCUCACGGAUAUGAUACUGUUGGAUCAGCACACGAGCGUGGCGGAUGGACUUAAGCCAAGC
rnacentral:antisense_RNA from 1 species